rnacentral:lncRNA from 1 species
AAAGCGUGAGAUAAAGUGAUAAUCACUUAUGGAUAUUUUAUUGCAUAUCUGGAAAACUCUAAAGAAGCAACUGAAAAAAGUGAACAAAAAUCUAAGAGGAUUUGGCAAAGUAUAAAAUUAGGAUAUGGAAAUUGGCAGCCUUUCUAUCUAGAAACAAGAACCACUAGGAAAUAUGAUCAAAGAAAAGACAACAUCAAAAAAAGGUAAAACAUCUGAGAAUGUGGUUAGAGGAAAUGUGGAAACUCUACAGCAGGAAGACUUCACGGCCUCCGGGGCUGCGCUGGCCGGGACGAGGGGAGCAGCAGGCUGUGCUGGAAGGGAAGACUUGUCAAGAUGCCGGUUUUCACUAAGUUCAUCUACAGUUCCAGCCAGACCACUGACCCACUGCCCCAGAGCAGCCGGCGAACACGGAGUUGGUGGGAAUCGGGGCGCUGACGGCUGACCCGGGCAGCGUGGAGCUGCUGCAUCGGGCGGUGCUUUUCAAGUCUCGGAAGCAGGACGAGACGCGGUCUUGCCUGACCCAGCAGAAGUUGAUCACAAGUCCAUUUGGGGCUUUCCCAGGCAGGCGGUGGGUCCCUGCUCCACCGCCACUGCCGUGCCCACCGC